GAGAGUUUUUAUGCUAUUAGUGUAUUAUUCACCGUUGCUGUGUUAACCAUUGGGAGGGGAAACGACUGCUAAUACCCCAUAGGCUGAGGAGCAAAAGGAGGAUGAUCAGUAGUUGGUCCGAGAGGAUGAUCAGCCACACUUGGCUGAGAUACGGCCUGGACUCCUACGGGACGCAACAAUGGGGACCAUGGAAGUUUCCACAAUAGGUGAAAGCCUGAUGGAGCGAUGCCACAUGGUGGUAGAAGGCCUAUGGGUCGUGAACUUCUUUUCUUGCACUCUUAAAUUAAAGUAAUACACAUGAAUGGUGCAUAAUGUAUGACCGUAUAAAAAACUUUACACGGACAAUGUUUAGAUAUUAAACUCU
rfam:Lupinus angustifolius cultivar Tanjil chromosome LG05, whole genome shotgun sequence.